AACAUGUCUUAAAGAAUUAUAAUUUAAGUCUAAUCUGCCCACUGAAUUAUUUAAAGGGCCGCAGUAUAAAUGUGCAAAGGUAGCAUAAUAAUUAGUUUUUUUAUUGGAAACUAGAAUGAAUGAUUGGACGAAAUAUUAACUAUUUAAAUUUAAAAAUAAAAUUUAUUUUUUUAAUGAAAAAAUUAAAAUUUAUUAAAAAGACAAGAAGACCCUAUAGAUCUUAAUAUAUUUUAUUUAUAAAAUUAUAAAUAAAUUUAUUUAAUUGGGGUGAUUAAAAAAUUUAAUUAACUUUUUGAAAUUUAAACUAUAAUUAUAGAUAAAAAAUUAAUCAAUUUAAAUAUUAUUUAAUAAUUAAUUAUUAAUAAAGAAAAAGAUACCUUAGGGAUAACAGCGUAAUUUUAAUUUUAAGUUCUUAUUAAAAUUAGAGAUUGCGACCUCGAUGUUGGAUUAAAAUAAAUAUUAAAUGUAGGUGUUUAAUAAUUAAGUCUGUUCGACUUUUAAAUUUUUACG
rnacentral:rRNA from 1 species